AUAGAAGCUUGCUUCUAUGACGUUAGCGGCGGACGGGUGAGUAACACGUGGGCAACCUGCCUGUAAGACUGGGAUAACUUCGGGAAACCGAAGCUAAUACCGGAUAGGAUCUUCUCCUUCAUGGGAGAUGAUUGAAAGAUGGUUUCGGCUAUCACUUACAGAUGGGCCCGCGGUGCAUUAGCUAGUUGGUGAGGUAACGGCUCACCAAGGCAACGAUGCAUAGCCGACCUGAGAGGGUGAUCGGCCACACUGGGAUGAGACACGGCCCAGACUCCUACGGGAGGCAGCAGUAGGGAAUCUUCCGCAAUGGACGAAAGUCUGACGGAGCAACGCCGCGUGAGUGAUGAAGGCUUUCGGGUCGUAAAACUCUGUUGUUAGGGAAGAACAAGUACGAGAGUAACUGCUCGUACCUUGACGGUACCUAACCAGAAAGCCACGGCUAACUACGUGCCAGCAGCCGCGGUAAUACGUAGGUGGCAAGCGUUAUCCGGAAUUAUUGGGCGUAAAGCGCGCGCAGGCGGUUUCUUAAGUCUGAUGUGAAAGCCCACGGCUCAACCGUGGAGGGUCAUUGGAAACUGGGGAACUUGAGUGCAGAAGAGAAAAGCGGAAUUCCACGUGUAGCGGUGAAAUGCGUAGAGAUGUGGAGGAACACCAGUGGCGAAGGCGGCUUUUUGGUCUGUAACUGACGCUGAGGCGCGAAAGCGUGGGGAGCAAACAGGAUUAGAUACCCUGGUAGUCCACGCCGUAAACGAUGAGUGCUAAGUGUUAGAGGGUUUCCGCCCUUUAGUGCUGCAGCUAACGCAUUAAGCACUCCGCCUGGGGAGUACGGUCGCAAGACUGAAACUCAAAGGAAUUGACGGGGGCCCGCACAAGCGGUGGAGCAUGUGGUUUAAUUCGAAGCAACGCGAAGAACCUUACCAGGUCUUGACAUCCUCUGACAACUCUAGAGAUAGAGCGUUCCCCUUCGGGGGACAGAGUGACAGGUGGUGCAUGGUUGUCGUCAGCUCGUGUCGUGAGAUGUUGGGUUAAGUCCCGCAACGAGCGCAACCCUUGAUCUUAGUUGCCAGCAUUUAGUUGGGCACUCUAAGGUGACUGCCGGUGACAAACCGGAGGAAGGUGGGGAUGACGUCAAAUCAUCAUGCCCCUUAUGACCUGGGCUACACACGUGCUACAAUGGAUGGUACAAAGGGCUGCAAGACCGCGAGGUCAAGCCAAUCCCAUAAAACCAUUCUCAGUUCGGAUUGUAGGCUGCAACUCGCCUACAUGAAGC
rnacentral:rRNA from 2 species